rnacentral:ncRNA from 2 species
AUGCGGCCAGCCGUGAUGGGUUCCCGGAGACGGGAACAAUAGGGAACGGGGUGCGGCCUUCGGCCAAGGCCCCGGCUGCCCCCGCAACUGUAACCGGCUAGCCGGUGCUUCAUCACGCCACUGGGGACAUCCCCGGGAAGGCGAAGCGCCACGGCAUCGAUCCGGGAGCCAGGAGACCUGCCCGUCACGGUCGUUCAUC